rnacentral:piRNA from 1 species
CUUUCUCAGACACUGUG